rnacentral:sRNA from 1 species
ACAAGACAUAGAUGCACUUUAAAAAUGGCAUUUUUAAUUUUACAACUGGCUUUGCUAAAAAUUGUCACUCUUCUCCAGUGUACUAAUAUGAGGUACCCAACAUUUGAAGGUUAAAGAUUCUAUAAAACAGGUCACUGGUGUUACCUAAGGGAAGUGCCCGACAGGGUGGCACCACUACGAAGGCACGGCCAGCUGCUACCGGGUCUACCUGAGCGGGGAGAACUACUGGGAUGCCGCGCAGACCUGCCAGCGCCUGAAUGGCUCUCUCGCCACCUUCUCCACUGACCAGGAGCUGCGCUUUGUCCUGGCCCAGGAAUGGGACCAGCCCGAGCGGAGCUUUGGUUGGAAGGACCAGCGCAAGUUGUGGGUUGGCUAUCAGUAUGUUAUCACUGGCCGGAACCGCUCCUUGGAAGGUCGCUGGGAGGUGGCAUUCAAAGGCUCUUCAGAGGUGUUCCUGCCCCCAGACCCCAUCUUUGCCUCGGCCAUGUCUGAGAACGACAACGUGUUCUGUGCCCAGCUUCAGUGCUUCCAUUUCCCCACCCUGCGGCACCACGACCUCCACAGCUGGCACGCCGAGAGCUGCUACGAGAAGUCUUCAUUUCUGUG